AGUGAACGCUGGCGGCAGGCCUAAUACAUGCAAGUCGAACGGCAGCACAGCAGAGCUUGCUCUGUGGGUGGCGAGUGGCGGGACGGGUGAGGAAUACAUGGGAAUCUGCCCAGUCGUGGGGGAUAACGUAGGGAAACUUACGCUAAUACCGCAUGCGCCCUUCGGGGAAAGCCGGGGACCUUCGGGCCUGGCGCGAUUGGAUGAGCCCAUGUCGGAUUAGCUAGUUGGCGGGGUAAUGGCCCACCAAGGCGACGAUCCGUAGCUGGUCUGAGAGGAUGAUCAGCCACACUGGAACUGAGACACGGUCCAGACUCCUACGGGAGGCAGCAGUAGGGAAUAUUGGACAAUGGGGCGCAAGCCUGAUCCAGCCAUGCCGCGUGAGUGAAGAAGGCCCUCGGGUUGUAAA
rnacentral:rRNA from 1 species